UGGGAGAUAGUUUAAAGGCAGAACAACGGCCUUUGGAGCCGUAUGUCCUGGUUCGAGUCCAGGUCUCCCAGCCA
rnacentral:tRNA from 1 species